CUUUUUGCUUCUUGAGAUUGGCAAGAUAGCAUUCCUUGGUGAUGUUCAAUAUAGCUAAGUUCUACAUCAUGCAAGCUAGUGAAUCUUAUAACAUUUUAGAACAUGCAUAAUCACCAAAGCAUCAUAAAUUUUAAUGAUGUGCAAAAUUACAAAUUUUGCAUGAUUGCAUUUGUGUGUCUUGAGACUUGCAAGAUAGCACUUCUUGGUGAUGUUCAAGAUAGCAAUUUCUUCUCUUUUGAGAAGUGCAAUUUUUGCUUUCUUCUUGAAUUGUGCAAGCUAGCUAUCUCCCCUUUUGUCAUUGUCAAAAAGAAGGGAAAAACCCUUUACAUCAAUUUUUAAAUCAUGACAAAG
rnacentral:lncRNA from 1 species